CAGGCCUAACAAUGCAAGUCGAACGGUAACAGGCCCUUCGGGGUGCUGACGAGUGGCGGAGGGUGAGUAAUGCUUGGGAAUCUGCCUAGUAGUGGGGGAUAACUCGGGGAACUCGAGCUAAUACCGCAUACGCCCUACGGGGGAAAGAUUUAUCGCUAUAGAUGAGCCCAAGUCAGAUUAGCUAGUUGGUAGGGUGGUGGCCUACCAGGCGACGAUCUGUAGCUGGUCUGAGAGGACGAACAGCCACACUGGGACUAGACACGGCCCAGACUCCUACGGGAGGCAGCAGUGGGGAAUAUUGGACAUGGGCGAAAGCCUGAUCCAGCAAUGCCGCGUGUGUGAAGAAGGCCUGCGGUUGUAAAGCACUUUCAGUUGGGAAGAUUAUGACGUUACCAACAGAAGAGCACCGGCUAACUCCGUGCCAGCAGCCGCGGUAAU
rnacentral:rRNA from 1 species